AACGAACGCUGGCGGCGUGGAUUAGGCAUGCAAGUCGAACGAGAAAGGGCUCGCAAGAACCCGAGUAAAGUGGCGAAAGGGUGAGUAGUACCUAGGUAACCUGCCCUGAAGACGGGGAUAACGUCUCUAACGGGACGCUAAUACCCGAUGUGUCGGCGCGGCCGCAUGGUCGUGCCGGUAAAAGGUAGCCUCUGUUUACAAGCUUCCGCUUCUGGAGGGGCCUCGGGCCUAUCAGUUAGUUGGCGGGGUAACGGCCCACCAAGACUGGGACGGGUAGCCGGUCUGAGAGGAUGGUCGGCCACACUGGGACUGAGACACUGCCCAGACUCCUACGGGAGGCUGCAGUCGAGGAUCUUCUGCAAUGGGCGCAAGCCUGACAGAGCGACGCCGCGUGGGGGAGGAAGGCCUCGGUGUAACCCU
rnacentral:rRNA from 1 species